UACGUAGGGUGCAAGCGUAAUCGGAAUUACUGGGCGUAAAGCGUGCGCAGGCGGUUAUGUAAGACAGUUGUGAAAUCCCCGGGCUCAACCUGGGAACUGCAUCUGUGACUGCAUAGCUAGAGUACGGUAGAGGGGGAUGGAAUUCCGCGUGUAGCAGUGAAAUGCGUAGAGAUCGGGAGGAACACCAGUGGCGAAGGCGGCUACCUGGACCAGCAC
rnacentral:rRNA from 1 species